rnacentral:rRNA from 1 species
AGUGAACGCUGGCGGUAGGCCUAACACAUGCAAGUCGAACGGCAGCACAGUAAGAGCUUGCUCUUACGGGUGGCGAGUGGCGGACGGGUGAGGAAUACAUCGGAAUCUACUUUUUCGUGGGGGAUAACGUAGGGAAACUUACGCUAAUACCGCAUACGACCUACGGGUGAAAGCAGGGGAUCUUCGGACCUUGCGCGAUUGAAUGAGCCGAUGUCGGAUUAGCUAGUUGGCGGGGUAAAGGCCCACCAAGGCGACGAUCCGUAGCUGGUCUGAGAGGAUGAUCAGCCACACUGGAACUGAGACACGGUCCAGACUCCUACGGGAGGCAGCAGUAGGGAAUAUUAGACAAUGGGCGCAAGCCUGAUCCAGCCAUGCCGCGUGGGUGAAGAAGGCCUUCGGGUUGUAAAGCCCUUUUGUUGGGGAAGAAAAGCAGCAGGUUGAUACCCCGCUGUUCUGACGGUACCCAAAGAGUAAGCCCCGGCUAACUUCGUG